UAUUUGCGUAAGGGAUAGGAGCGGCAUCCUUUUUUAUACUAUUCUGAACUAGUACUCAGAAUAGUAUAAAAAAGAUACAGCAUAUAGCCCGACCUACA
rnacentral:sRNA from 1 species